GAGUGAGAGGGAAGAGCUCAUCAUUGGAAUCUGGCAGUGUUGCACUGUCCGAGUUGUAGAUGAGGAGUAGUCCGUCUGGACUGCAUGGCGUCCAAGUACAAUAGGCCGUCAGUGGGACAUCAUAGAGGGUGACAAUCCCGUCCUUGACGCUAAUGUGCAAGUCUAUUACGAUGGCUAUCUCAGAGAGUCGAGCAGUUUGGGAUUUGCUGCUUAAACAUGGGAGGUAGAUUCCUUCUAAAGCUAAAUACAGGCGAGAGACCGAUAGAGAACAAGUACCGCAAGGGAAAGAUGAAAUAGCACUCUGUGAAGGGAGUCAAAAGGCGUGAAAUUGUUGCGAGAGAAGCGAUUCAAGUCAGCGUAGCUAGGCCCAUCAAGCGUCUUCGCUUUGGACUAGCUUUGCCAGCGGUCUUGUCCCUUAAAGAGACUUGACUUGUAAUAUGUCCAGCCUGGCGUGCACAGGCAGCCCCUUCUGGGGGCCAGUGGCAUGGCUGGUGGAAUGGCUUGCAAUCGACCCGUCUUGAAACACGGACCAAGGAGUCUAACAUGUAUGCGAGUAUAAGGGUGGCAAACCCGUAUGCGCAAUGAAAGUGAUUUUCGGUGAUUGAGAAUGGCCUGAUGACCAGACAAGCAAUACAUGUCCCUCGUACGGCCAUUGCCCAAGUUCCGUGGUAGAUCCCACGAACAUGGAGUUGGAGCAUACAUGCUAGGACCCGAAAGAUGGUGAACUAUGCCUGGACAAAGCGAAGCCAAAGGAAACUCUGGUGGAGGCUUGUAGCGAUUCUGACGUGCAAAUCGAUCGUCUGAUCUGGGUAUAGGGGCGAAAGACUA
rnacentral:rRNA from 2 species